GCGCGGUUAGCUCAGCUGGAUAGAGCGUUGGCCUCCGAAGCCAAAGGUCGUUGGUUCGAAUCCAAUACCGCGUACCA
rnacentral:tRNA from 1 species